AAUCCAUGGUGUGGACAUCUCCGAAACAAUUUUCUAAACCAUUCCCAAGUUUCAUACAACGAUUCACCAUCGAAUUGACUAAAACUAAUAAUAUCCAUUCUAAAUUU